UCAAACACCUCCAUUUUUACAAUGUCUCAGGCAUCUCAAACAUCCAAUGCAAAAAAGUUUUACAAUUGUUAUUGUGGUGAUCCAACUACGUUGAGGACGUCACCUACCAAUGCAAAUUCAGGUCGAUAAUUUUUUUAUUGUGCAGUUGGCAUAUGCUCUUUUUUUAGAUGACUUGAAAAUGAAUCAUCAACGAGUAGCCCAUCGAAUUUUUAAGGCGUUGCCAAAUUUGAAAUAUUAAAGAAGCUACGAAAAUUUGAAGAAAAUAGAAAUCUGCUAAUGACUUUCUUAAAAGAAGCCAAAGAGUAGAGGAAUCACUUGAAAGUUUUGCUAACAGAUGUUGAAAUGGACAAAGAUCAACUAAAAAAGCGUUGAUUUUGGCAGAAGAAAAAGAAAAACGCCUAAAACUAUAUUGUGUGCUUU
rnacentral:lncRNA from 1 species